UUCCUGUGUGGGGUUCAGACACCUGCCUCCCCUGCCUACUUCGGGUGCCUUCUUCAGAAAUGAAGUAAUGAGCUGGCUGUGUCCGCCAUACUAGUAGAGCGAGCCUUCUGCGAAGGAUGCGGUGGAACGCUUUCUGGAGUGUUCUGGGCCUCAGCCUCCUAGUAGAUGGCACUUGGCAG